rnacentral:misc_RNA from 1 species
UUGUGGAGAAGGACGCCGAAGGUGGGGCUGAUGACUGGGGUGAAGUCGUAACAAGGUAGCCGUACUGGAAGGUGCGGCUGGAUCACCUCCUAACAGGGAGACAAUUAAUUGAUUGUAUUGUCUAAGUAUUUUAUUCUUAGGCUGCAAUCCUGUCACCUUAAGGUCGAUCGGUACCUCAGAUUUUUGAAUUUUAUCUUAAAAUUUUUGAAUUUCAGUUCCUAAACUUGUCUAGGUCACACCCAACAAAGGUUUCUCCUGGGCCAUUAGCUCAGGUGGUUAGAGCGCACCCCUGAUAAGGGUGAGGUCCCUGGUUCAAGUCCAGGAUGGCCCAUUCGUUGUUGGGGGUAUAGCUCAGUUGGUAGAGCGCCUGCUUUGCAAGCAGGAUGUCAGCGGUUCGAGUCCGCUUACCUCCACUGAAAACUAUCCUGCUAACUAAAUUUCCGAGGAGAAAUUGUAGAUGUGACUUAGAUUUGACUACUAUAAAAGAACCUAGCUUCUUAUCAUCACUUUUAUGUUGAUAAUAUGCUGGGCUCACAUGGAUUUAUCCAUGAGAAUUCAGUAGAACCUUGAAAACUGCAUAGAUUAGAAAGAAUAAAGCAUCUCAUGGAUGCAUAAUUCUGAUUUGAUUUUUUAGUUAUUAACUAAUAGAUCAAUUAUUGGAAUUCAUGUUUAAUUCUUGAGUAAUAGCCGAGCACAAUUGAUUUUGUGAUUGUAUUAAGGUCCAGCUACAA